rnacentral:tRNA from 2 species
AAAAAGGUAAGCUAAAUUGGUAAGCUAGUGGGUUCAUACCCCAUUUAUAGGAGUUUCCUCCUUUUUA